rfam:Parcubacteria bacterium C7867-006 C7867_00116, whole genome shotgun sequence.
AAUGGGAAAUUUAAGAGCGUAUGGUGGAUGCCUUGACUCAAAAUGGCGAUGAAAGACGUAGCAUGGCUGCGAUAAGUUAUAUAUGUCGUUGCUCUACGAAUUACGUAGAGCGUGCACCCGGGGAAGUAAAACAUUUCAGUACCCGGAGGAAUAGAAAACAAUUGUUAUUGCGCAAGUAGCGGCGAGCGAAAACGCAGAAGCCCAAACCACCCUUCUAUCUUUGUUUGUGUCGCAAGACAUAAGCGAGGAUAGCGGGGUGGGGUUGUAAGGCAGGAACGUCAUAAUUUAUUAUGAGAGAAGUUACAAAAUAUUAUGUUAGUUGAAUGUGCUGGAAAGCACGACCCUAGAGGGUAAUGGUCCCGUAAGCGAAAAUAUAAUAUCUUCUUUGUUCUUGUUCUUGAGUACUUCGAGACACGUGUGGCUCGGAGGAAUCUGCCGGAACUAACCGGUAAGGCUAAAUACAUUUUGAGAUCGAUAGUGAACUAGUACCGUGAGGGAAAGGUGAAAAGAAGUCCGAUAAGGACAGUGAAAUUAUCCGUCACGGCGUGCCUAUUGAAGAAUGAGCCAACGAGUUGAUGUAUGCUGCACGACUAAGUCCUUUACCGGAUGGAGUCAAAGGGAAACCGAGUGUGAAUAGCGCGAAUAAGUAGUAUGCAUCAGACCCGAAGCCAGAGCGAGCUUGUCAUGAGCAGGGUGAACUUCUGAGAAAUCAGAAGGGAGGCCCGAACCCAUAUGCCGUGCAAUACAUUGGGAUGACUUGUGAUAAGAAGUGAAAAGCUAAUCGAGCCUGGUAAUAGCUGGUUCUCUCCGAAAUAGCUUUUGGGCUAGCGUCAAAUGUUCCCUUCUGGGGUAGAGCACUGGAAGGUCUCGACAGGGAGAAAUCUCGCGAGACCUAUCAAACUCCGAAUACAGAAGAUUAAAAGUUUGGCAGUUAGACGGCGGGGGCUAAGCUCCGUACGUCAAAAAGGAAACAGCCUAGAUCUCUAUUUAAGGUCCCUAAAUCUACGUUAAGUGCGCUUAAGGUGGUGAAAUUUCUCAGACACUGAGGAGGUUGGCUUAGAAGCAGCCAUCCUUUAAAGAUAGCGUAACAGCUCACUCAGUAAGAGAUUUCGCGCCGCAAAUAAUCGGGGCUAAACGUAGUACCGAAACUGAGGAUUUAUUUCUUCUUCGGAAGAAAUGAGUGGUAGGAGAGUAUUCGUAUCUGCUGUGAAGGCAAAGGGGUGACCCAUGCUGGAGCGAUGCGAAGUAAGAAUGUUGGCACAAGUAACCACAAUACAGGUGAGAUCCCUGUACGCCGAAAGACUGAGGUUUCCUAUUCAAUGUCAAUCAGAGUAGGGUUAGUCGGGCCUAAGGCAAUGACGAGAGUCGCAGCCGAUGGACAGCUGGUUAAUAUUCCAGCACUUUUACACAAUGCGAUGGAAGGACGGAGUGCAGUAUGUACAGCUCAUUAUUGGAUUUGAGUAUGUGCUGUCAGAAUGUCUUGUAGGUAAAUCCGCAAGCUAUCUUAAAUGAUAAAUUCAAGCAGUAUUUAAACCUGGCGAUACGUCAAAGGGGAUAGUACAAAGCGCGCUUCCAAGAAAAUUUUCUAAGCUUAAUUGUGUGAGAUCCGUACCGUAAACCGACACAGGUAGUCAGGUCGAGUAGACCAAGGCGAACGAGUGAGAGAUCCCCAAGGAACUCUGCAAAAAAGCAGCCGUAACUUCGGAAUAAGGCUUGCCCACUUUAUGUGGGCCGCAGCUAAAGUAUCUCUGGCAACUGUUUAUCAAAAACACAGCUCCCUGCGAACUCGCAAGAGGAUGUAUAGGGGGUGAUGCCUGACCAAUGCCAGAAGGUCAAAUAUGGUAGGAGAAUGUCGCAAGACGCUAUCUUGACUAUAUAAGCCCUGGUGAAUGUCGGCCGUAACUAUAACGGUCCUAAGGUUGUGCGGACAAUUUAUUUUGCCCGCACAAGGACUGGGGCCGUUAAAGGAAUUGAUAAACGAAAUAACAAUUAAAAUCAUUAUAAUCAUUCAAAGCUGCCUCAGUACAUAGCGAUAUGUGCGAGGUCCAAAAAUCAUGGCUAUAUGCUGGUAAGUCUGCAAUUUACAGACGAUCAGCAGGGAAGUCCGAAUUUAUUCGGAUCCCUCAGAGACCAAACGCCGUGCAUCUCUAGUAGAUGAAGAUAUGGUCCUUCGUAUGCAAUAGGAAACGAAAAGCGAAAUUCCUUGUCGGGUAAGUUCCGACGUGCACGAAUGGUAUAAUGACUGGAGAACUGUCUCGGGGAUUUGCUCGGUGAAAAUACAAUACCGGU